CCUACGGGUGGCUGCAGUGGGGAAUAUUGGACAAUGGGCGAAAGCCUGAUCCAGCCAUGCCGCGUGUGUGAAGAAGGCCUUCUGGUUGUAAAGCACUUUCAGUGGGGAAGAAAGCCUUGGGGCUAAUACCCUCGAGGAAGGACAUCACCCACAGAAGAAGCACCGGCUAACUCCGUGCCAGCAGCCGCGGUAAUACGGAGGGUGCGAGCGUUAAUCGGAAUUACUGGGCGUAAAGCGCGCGUAGGCGGUCUGAUAAGCCGGUUGUGAAAGCCCCGGGCUCAACCUGGGAACGGCAUCCGGAACUGUCAGGCUAGAGUGCAGGAGAGGAAGGUAGAAUUCCCGGUGUAGCGGUGAAAUGCGUAGAGAUCGGGAGGAAUACCAGUGGCGAAGGCGGUCUUCUGGACUGACACUGACGCUGAGGUGCGAAAGCGUGGGUAGCAAACAGGAUUAGAUACCCUGGUAGUC
rnacentral:rRNA from 1 species